rnacentral:rRNA from 1 species
UACGUAGGGGGCUAGCGUUGUCCGGAAUCAUUGGGCGUAAAGCGCGUGUAGGCGGUCCGGUAAGUCCGCUGUGAAAGUCGGGGGCUCAACCCUCGGAUGCCGGUGGAUACUGUCGGGCUUGAGUACGGAAGAGGCGAGUGGAAUUCCUGGUGUAGCGGUGGAAUGCGCAGAUAUCAGGAGGAACACCAAUAGCGAAGGCAGCUCGCUGGGACGUAACUGACACUGAGGCGCGAAAGCGUGGGGAGCGAACAGG